UACGUAGGGUGCAAGCGUUGUCCGGAAUUAUUGGGCGUAAAGAGCUCGUAGGCGGUUUGGCGCGUCUGCUGUGAAAACUCGGGGCUUAACUCCGGGCCUGCAGUGGGUACGGGCAGACUAGAGUGCGGUAGGGGAGACUGGAAUUCCUGGUGUAGCGGUGAAAUGCGUAGAUAUCAGGAGGAACACCGGUGGCGAAGGCGGCGUCCUGGACCAACACUGACACUGAUGAGCGAAAGCCAGGGGAGCAAACGGG
rnacentral:rRNA from 1 species